rnacentral:tRNA from 1 species
GGCGCCUGGGAGAAGUCGGGUGACUCUUGGCGCUUCGUGCGCGACGGCGCCGCCAAGACCGGCUGGUUCAACGCCGGCGGCCGCUG